AUUGAACGCUGGCGGCAGGCCUAACACAUGCAAGUCGAGCGAGCGGCGGACGGGUGAGUAAUGUAUGGGGACUGCCCGAUAGAGGAGGAUAACUACUGGAAACGGUCGCUAAUACCGCAUACUAUCGGAUAACCCAUAUGGGUUUAGCUAGUAGGUGAGGUAAUGGAUCACCUAGGCGACGAUCCCUAGCUAGUCUGAGUGGAUGGUCAGCCACACUGGGACUGAGACACGGCCCAGAAGCCUAGGGAGGCAGCAGUGGGGAAUAUUGCACAAUGGGCGCAAGCCUGAUGCAGCCAUGCCGCGUGUAGGAAGAAGGCCCUAGAGUUGUAAAGUACUUGCAGUCGGGAGGCGUUACCGACAGAAGAAGCACCGGCUAACUCCGUGCCAGCAGCCGCGGUAAUAC
rnacentral:rRNA from 1 species